UACGUAGGCAGCGAGCGUUGUUCGGAGUUACUGGGCGUAAAGGGUGUGUAGGCGGUUGUUUAAGUUUGGUGUGAAAUCUCCCGGCUCAACUGGGAGGGUGCGCCGAAUACUGAAUGACUUGGAGUGCGGGAGAGGAAAGUGGAAUUCCUGGUGUAGCGGUGAAAUGCGUAGAUAUCAGGAGGAACACCGGUGGUGUAGACGGCUUUCUGGACCGUAACUGGCGCUGAGACACGAAAGCGUGGGUAGCAAACAGG
rnacentral:rRNA from 1 species